rnacentral:rRNA from 1 species
AGAGUUUGAUCCUGGCUCAGAUUGAACGCUGGCGGCAGGCCUAACACAUGCAAGUCGAACGGUAACAGGAAGCAGCUUGCUGCUUCGCUGACGAGUGGCGGACGGGUGAGUAAUGUCUGGGAAGCUGCCUGAUGGAGGGGGAUAACUACUGGAAACGGUAGCUAAUACCGCAUAAUGUCGCAAGACCAAAGAGGGGGACCUUCGGGCCUCUUGCCAUCGGAUGUGCCCAGAUGGGAUUAGCUUGUUGGUGGGGUAACGGCUCACCAAGGCGACGAUCCCUAGCUGGUCUGAGAGGAUGACCAGCCACACUGGAACUGAGACACGGUCCAGACUCCUACGGGAGGCAGCAGUGGGGAAUAUUGCACAAUGGGCGCAAGCCUGAUGCAGCCAUGCCGACGUGGAUAGAUAGAGAAGGCUCUUACGCGGUUGUAAAGUACUUUCAGCCGGGAGGAAGGGAGUAAAGUUAAUACCUUUGCUCAAUGGACGUAACCCGCCAGAAGAAGCCACCGGCAUAACUCCGUGCGCAGCAGCCGCGGUAAUACCGUAGGGGUGGCAAGCGUUAAUCCGGAAUUACUGGGCGUAAAGCGCGCCACGCCAGGCGGUUUGUUAAGUCAGAUUGUGAAAUCCCCCGGGCCUCAACCCUGGGAAACUGCAUUCUGAUUACUGGCAAGCUUGAGUCUCGUAGAGGGGGGGUAGAAUUACAAGGUUGUAGCGGUGAAAUGCGUAGAGAUCUGGAGGAAUACCCGGUGGCGAAGGCGGCCCCCUGGACGAAGACUGACGCUCAGGUGCGAAAGCGUGGGGAGCAAACACGAUUAGAUACCCUGGUAGUCCACGCCGUAAACGAUGUCGACUUGGAAGUUGUGCCCUGGAGGCGUGGCUCCCGGAGCUAACGCGUUAAGUCAACCGCCUGGGGAGUACCAUCCGCAACGUUAAAACUCAAAUGAAUUGACGGGGGCCCUGCACAAGCGAUGGAGCAGGAUGGUUUAAUUCCGAUGCUAACGAGAACAACCUUACCUGGAUCUUGACCAUAUCCCACGGAAGUUUUCAGAGAUGAGAAUGUGCCUUCGGGAACCGUGAGACAGGUGCUGCAUGGCUGUCGUCAGCUCGUGUUGUGAAAUGUUGGGUUAAGUCCCGCAACGAGCGCAACCCUUAUCCUUUGUUGCCAGCGGUCCGGCCGGGAACUCAAAGGAGACUGCCAGUGAUAAACUGGAGGAAGGUGGGGAUGACGUCAAGUCAUCAUGGCCCUUACGACCAGGGCUACACACGUGCUACAAUGGCGCAUACAAAGAGAAGCGACCUCGCGAGAGCAAGCGGACCUCAUAAAGUGCGUCGUAGUCCGGAUUGGAGUCUGCAACUCGACUCCAUGAAGUCGGAAUCGCUAGUAAUCGUGGAUCAGAAUGCCACGGUGAAUACGUUCCCGGGCCUUGUACACACCGCCCGUCACACCAUGGGAGUGGGUUGCAAAAGAAGUAGGUAGCUUAACCUUCGGGAGGGCGCUUACCACUUUGUGAUUCAUGACUGGGGUGAAGUCGUAACAAGGUAGCCGU